rnacentral:rRNA from 1 species
GAUGAACGCUGGCGGCGUGCUUAACACAUGCAAGUCGAACGUGAGAGGUAGCAAUAUCUUGAAAGUGGCGAACGGUGAGUAACACGUAGGUGACCUGCCUCGGAGCGGGGGAUAACAGUUAGAAAUGACUGCUAAUACCGCAUGAAUCCACUGGGAUGGGAAGAAUGGUGGAGAAAAACUCGGGUGCUUCGAGAGGGGCCUGCGGUCGAUUAGCUAGUUGGUGGGGUAAAGGCCUACCAAGGCGACGAUCGAUAGCUGGUCUGAGAGGACGAUCAGCCACACGGGAACUGAGACACGGUCCCGACUCCUACGGGGGGCAGCAGUGAGGAAUAUUGGGCAAUGGGCGGAAGCCUGACCCAGCAACGCCGCGUGGA